UUCCUUAAUCGUGUUUUAUAUAAGGCUUUGGUGUUACAGACUGCUACAUGUGCUUUGAUAUAGCCAAAGGCACUUAAAAAAUAUUAAGAUUACUACUUUAUCAAUAAUUUGCUAAUGGACAGCAUUAUUUCACUUCAAGUAUAUAAUUGUAAAAAUAUAAGUACGAAAUUUGUGACGCUUCCCAAGCCGUAAUUGAUUUGGAUUUACAAGCAUUUUUCAUUUUCCGGAUAUUUAACCAUUCGUGAAAUUUUCAAGAAUCAUAACUUUUCGUUUCCUUCAGCAACUUGAUACUGGUAAACCACUUUUCUAUGAAAUUACUGUGAAAUAAAACUCGCAUGGUACGAAAAGAAGUCUGUAGAAGGUAACGUUGUGCGUUACGAAGUUACGUUUUUAACAAGUUACAAACAGUAUUUUUCUUAAUUCCUACAUCAAUUAUUUAUAGAACAGAUAUAUUAUUUUAUUAUAACAUUGGAAAUGGAUGACAGCGAAUCCGUGAUCAAGAUAUUUCACUAACAAUUUCAAAUAAAAUUGGAAUGAAAAUGGGGAAUGUGCUAAAAAGACAACAACACGACCAAAGAGCUGAGAACAGCCGAAGGCCACCAAAUGGUCUUCAAUGCAGCGAGAAACUCUCAAACAUGAAGGCUUGCUUCAAUUGACGCCUAAACAAAAGUUACUAGUUCAAUGAUUAUGGAGUUCAUGUCAUACUAAACUUAAGUUAGAAUUAUACACAAGAAUCUAUAAUUGAAAAUCAUACAAGACUACAAAGGCCAGACGAUCCUGACUGGGACCCUAGAGAAUUUAAGCAAUUACAAAUGUAAUUAUAAGGGCCUCAAUGAACAUGGACAAGACUAAUACAUAAAGAUUUUAGACAUGAAUAUAUAAAAAAGGAAAUGUGGUAUGAUUGCCAAUGAGACAACUGUCCACAAGAGACCAAAAUGACACAGACAUUAACAACUAUAGGUCACCGUGCAGCCUUCGACAAUGAGCAAAGCCCAUACCCAUAUAAAGGCCCCAAUAAGACAUGUAAAACAACUCAACGAGAAAACUAACGGCCUUAUUUAUAUAAAAAAAUGAACGAAAACAAAUAUGUAACACAUAAACAAACGAUUACCACUGAAUUACAGGCUCCUGACUUGGGACAGACACAAACGUAAAUAAUGUGGCGGGGUUGAACAUGUUAGCGGGAUCCCAACCCUCCCCUUACCUGGGACAGUGGUAUAACAGUACAACAUGAGAACGAACUAUAAAAAUAGUUGAAAAAGGUUAACUCAUAGAUGGACAAAAAUACAAGUGGACGUGACAUGAAGCUUUUAUGCUACAUUGUACAUGUAUAUGUAAAAUUUUUAAAGCAAUAAUGAAUAUUAUACCUAUUUGUAUUUGUUUUUAUUUCAGCUUGAUUCCAAUCUUUUGCAAUGGCUAAUACAAGAAGAGGCAGGCAUACAUGUACCAGUAUAUGUACAAUACAUGAUUCUCUGUAGCAACUGGAUUGUCUAUUCACCCCUAUAGUUCCACAACAACAAUGAAACUCUAGACUACUACAUGUACGAUGUUAUGAAAAUAUUUACAUAUACCUACAUGUACAUCUACAUACAUGAUCAAUUUUGAAGAUUGUUCUUGCCAGGUGUAAUCAUGUCAACUAAUACAAGUUUUGAUUCAGCUUUCUGACAGGAAUUAUUUAUAAACUUGCCAGCAGUUACAACAAAUGAUAUAUAUAAUUGAGUUAAAAAUUAAGCUCAUUUGGACAGUGAAGUGAUUUUGACGCGUAUUGAAGUAGACAUUAAACAUGUUAAACGUUUCAAAUUGAUAUCGAAUUAUGUGUAAAUGCAGCAUUGAUUUAUUUAAGAAAUUAAGAAUA
rnacentral:lncRNA from 1 species